UCAUAUCAAUAAGCGGAGGAAAAGAAACCAACAGGGAUUGCCUUAGUAACGGCGAGUGAAGCGGCAACAGCUCAAAUUUGAAAGCUGGCCCUUUUAGGGUCCGCAUUGUAAUUUGUAGAGGAUGAUUCGGCGAGGGCUCCUGCCUAAGUCCCCUGGAACGGGGCGUCAUAGAGGGUGAGAAUCCCGUAUGCGGUAGGUUGCCUUAGCCAUGUGAAUCUCCUUCGACGAGUCGAGUUGUUUGGGAAUGCAGCUCUAAAUGGGAGGUAAAUUUCUUCUAAAGCUAAAUACCGGCCAGAGACCGAUAGCGCACAAGUAGAGUGAUCGAAAGAUGAAAAGCACUUUGGAAAGAGAGUUAAAAAGUACGUGAAAUUGUUGAAAGGGAAGCGCUUGCAACCAGACUUGUCCGCAGUUGCUCAGCCGGUCUCCUGACCGGCGUACUCUUCUGCGGCCAGGCCAGCAUCAGUUCGGGCGGUCGGAUAAAGGCCUCGGGAAUGUGGCUCCUCUCGGGGAGUGUUAUAGCCCGGGGUGCAAUGCGGCCAGCCUGGACUGAGGAACUCGCUUCGGCAAGGAUGCUGGCGUAAUGGUUGUAAGCGGCCCGUCUUGAAACACGGACCAAGGAGUCUAACAUCUAUGCGAGUGUUCGGGUGUCAAACCCGUACGCGUAAUGAAAGUGAACGGAGGUGGGAACCCGCAAGGGUGCACCAUCGGCCGAUCCUGAUGUCUUCGGAUGGAUUUGAGCAAGAGCAUAGCUGUUGGGACCCGAAAGAUGGUGAACUAUGCCUGAAUAGGGUGAAGCCAGAGGAAACUCUGGUGGAGGCUCGCAGCGGUUCUGACGUGCAAAUCGAUCGUCAAAUUUGGGUAUAGGGGCGAAAGACUAAUCGAACCAUCUAGUAGCUGGUU
rnacentral:rRNA from 1 species